GGAUUAGAUACCCUGGUAGUCCACGCCGUAAACGAUGAUAACUAGCUGUCAGGGCACAUGGUGUUUUGGUGGCGCAGCUAACGCAUUAAGUUAUCCGCCUGGGGAGUACGGUCGCAAGAUUAAAACUCAAAGGAAUUGACGGGGGCCUGCACAAGCGGUGGAGCAUGUGGUUUAAUUCGAAGCAACGCGCAGAACCUUACCAACGUUUGACAUCCCUAUCGCGGAUCGUGGAGACACUUUCCUUCAGUUCGGCUGGAUAGGUGACAGGUGCUGCAUGGCUGUCGUCAGCUCGUGCCG
rnacentral:rRNA from 1 species